rnacentral:rRNA from 1 species
UGGGGAAUUUUGGACAAUGGGCGAAAGCCUGAUCCAGCAAUGCCGCGUGUGUGAAGAAGGCCUUCGGGUUGUAAAGCACUUUUGUCCGGAAAGAAAUCCUUGGCUCUAAUACAGUCGGGGGAUGACGGUACCGGAAGAAUAAGCACCGGCUAACUACGUGCCAGCAGCCGCGGUAAUACGUAGGGUGCAAGCGUUAAUCGGAAUUACUGGGCGUAAAGCGUGCGCAGGCGGUUUGCUAAGACCGAUGUGAAAUCCCCGGGCUCAACCUGGGAACUGCAUUGGUGACUGGCAGGCUAGAGUAUGGCAGAGGGGGGUAGAAUUCCACGUGUAGCAGUGAAAUGCGUAGAGAUGUGGAGGAAUACCGAUGGCGAAGGCAGCCCCCUGGGCCAAUACUGACGCUCAUGCACGAAAGCGCGGGGAGCAAACAGGAUUAGAUACCCUGGUAGUCCACGCCCUAAACGAUGUCAACUAGUUGUUGGGGAUUCAUUUCCUUAGUAACGUAGCUAACGCGUGAAGUUGACCGCCUGGGGAGUAC